GGGACUGUAUCCAGAGUACCACGAGACACGUGAAACCUUGUGGGAAGCAGGGGGGACCACCCUCCAAGCCAAAAUACUGAUAUCGACCGAUAGCGCAUAGUACCGUGAGGGAAAGGUGAAAAGAACCCCUGGCGGGGAGUGAAAGAGAACCUGAAACCGUAUGUCUACAAACAGUCGAAGUCUGUAUAUAUAUCAGGACGACGGCGUGCCUAUUGAAGAAUGAACCGACGAGUUACUGUUGCUAGCGAGGUUAAGUGGAAAACACGGAGCCGCAGCGAAAGCGAGUCUGAACAGGGCGUUCAGUUAGUAAUAGUAGACCCGAAACCGUAGUGAUCUAUCCAUGGCCAGGUUGAAGCACAGGUAAAAUUGUGUGGAGGACCGAACUCGUGAGCGUUGAAAAGCUUUGGGAUGAGUUGUGGAUAGGGGUGAAAUGCCAAUCGAACACGGAGAUAGCUGGUUCUCCCCGAAAUAGCUUUAGGGCUAGCCUCGAGGUUGAGAGUAUAGGCGGUAGAGCACUGAUCGGGCUAGGGGCCAUACCGGUUACCGAACCUAGUCAAACUACGAAUGGCUAUACUUAUACUCGGGAGUCAGACAGUGAAUGAUAAGGUCCAUUGUCAAGAGGGAAACAGCCCAGAACACCGACUAAGGUCCCAAAUGUUACACUAAGUGGCGAAGGAUGUGGAAUUUCCAAAACAACCAGGAUGUUGGCUUAGAAGCAGCCACCAUUUAAAGAGUGCGUAAUAGCUCACUGGUCGAGAGACUCUGCGCCGAAAAUGUCCGGGGCUAAAGUGUAAAACCGAAGUCGUGUCAUAUGCAGCAAUGUAUAUGGGUAGGGGAGCGUUCUCAUUGGGUUGAAGCAGUACCGUAAGGAGUUGUGGACUGAUGAGAAGUGAGAAUGUCGGUAUGAGUAGCGAAAAGAAUGGUGAGAAUCCAUUCCACCGAAAGCCUAAGGGUUCCUGAGCAACGAUCGUCGUCUCAGGGUAAGUCGGGACCUAAGCCGAGGCGGAAAAGCGUAGGCGAUGGACAACAGGUUGAAAUUCCUGUACCGGUGUGAAUCGUUUGAUCGAUGGAGUGACACAGUAAGGUAGGUCAGCACGCGAUUGGAAGUGCGUGUUUAAGCAUGUAGGUUGAGCUAUAGGCAAAUCCGUAGCUCUAAAAGCUGAGAUGUGAUGACGAGUUACUAGCGAUAGUAACGAAGUGAUUGAUCCUACACUGUCGAGAAAAGCUUCUAGGUAGAGACACAUCGCCCGUACCAAAACCGACACAGGUAGGCGGGGAGAGAAUCCUAAGGUGCGCGGGAAAACCCUCGUUAAGGAACUCGGCAAAAUGCCUCCGUAACUUCGGGAAAAGGAGGACUCAUGUAGUGUGAAGAGCAGCAACGCUUGGAGCAUGAAUGAGUGGCACAAGAGAGGCGCAAGCGACUGUUUACCACAAACACAGGUGCCUGCUAAAGCGAAAGCUGAUGUAUAGGUGCUGACACCUGCCCGGUGCUGGAAGGUUAAGAGGAGGGGUUAGACUUCGGUCGAAGCUCUGAAUUGAAGCCCCAGUAAACGGCGGCCGUAACUAUAACGGUCCUAAGGUAGCGAAAUUCCUUGUCGGGUAAGUUCCGACCCGCACGAAAGGUGUAACGACUUGCGCACUGUCUCAACGAGGGACCCGGUGAAAUUGAAGUACCUGUGAAGAUGCAGGUUACCCGCGACUGGACAGAAAGACCCCAUGGAGCUUUACUGCAACCUAAGAUUGAACUUAGUUAAUGAAUGUACAGGAUAGGUGGGAGACGUAGAACCUAGGACGCCAGUUUUAG
rnacentral:rRNA from 1 species